GGUUUAAUUCGAAGCAACGCGAAGAACCUUACCAGGUCUUGACAUCCCGAUGCUAUUUCUAGAGAUAGAAAGUUACUUCGGUACAUCGGUGACAGGUGGUGCAUGGUUGUCGUCAGCUCGUGUCGUGAGAUGUUGGGUUAAGUCCCGCAACGAGCGCAACCCCUAUUGUUAGUUGCCAUCAUUCAGUUGGGCACUCUAGCGAGACUGCCGGUAAUAAACCGGAGGAAGUGGGGAUGACGUCAAAUCAUCAUGCCCCUUAUGACCUGGGCUACACACGUGCUACAAUGGUUGGUACAACGAGUUGCGAGUCGGUGACGGCGAGCUAAUCUCUUAAAGCCAAUCUCAGUUCGGAUUGUAGGCUGCAACUCGCCUACAUGAAGUCGGAAUCGCUAGUAAUCGCGGAUCAGCACGCCGCGGUGAAUACGUUCCCGGGCCUU
rnacentral:rRNA from 1 species